UGGACUCGCUAGUAAUCGGAGAUCAGCUACGCUCCGGUGAAUAUGUUCCUGAGCCUUGUACACACCGCCCGUCAAGUCAUGAAAGUUGGUAACACCCGAAGCCGGUGGCCUAACCGUUGUGGGGGAGCCGUCGAAGGUGGGACUGGUGAUUAGGACUAAGUCGUAACAAGGUAGCCGUACCGGAAGGUGCGGCUGGAACACCUCCUU
rnacentral:rRNA from 1 species